UCGACCGCCACCUGUGUAGUUAUCCACACUUAUAUAGAAGUAGUGGAUAUAUUUCCUGAUUUGAUGCACUUUUCAGCUGAGCUGUAAAGGGUAAACAUGGCCCUAUGCCCUUAAUUUUGACAUCACUAUCAACUUGUGCAAGAGGCUUUACUCAGGGACGGCUGAUAAGGUUAUAAAAAAAAGUUAUUGGCCUUAGGACCCAAUAAAUUGGGGGGCUCAUUUUUUAGUUAAUUAGGUAGGAUUAAAUUUAAAAAAAAUUAGAACUAAGACAACAAAUGCAAACGACAUUAAUGAAUGAAGUGAUAGAUAUGACAAUUACUUUUUCCCUUUCCAAUAAAAAUUGUGUACUUUUUUUUUAAUGUACAAGUUAUCUUUCUUUUUUUUACCUUAUUCUUUUUCUAAUUUUAUUUUUANNNNNNNN
rnacentral:lncRNA from 1 species